AGCCCAGGAGACAGCCUUGGGCCCCUGGGGGAGCAGUGAGGCUGCUGGGCCGGACUGGUGGGGAGAGCUGAACGUCGGUUGACUCCCAAGGGCAGGACCUGGUUCUCUCGCUGCCAGCUGUGUCUGCACCCCUCCCUGCCGCCCUGCCCGGCACCAGCUCUCCUCACGUCAGACGAAGGAUCGAAUAAGACAGGAAGGCGAGAGUCCCGAGCAUUGGUGGCGAUUACAGGGAUGGACUUGGAGGCCUGGGGGAAGACAGAAGGGUGGAGCGCGGAAGAGGCCCGAAAUGCCCAUUGCCGAGUGCAGGCUGGCUGCGGCCGGUCCUGAGCAGCCGCGUUCCUGCCCGAGAAGUGAUGCGGCUGAGCGACGUGGGCUCUGUGGGCCCUCCCGGGCCACAAAUGGUUAGGAGAACGUGGACCAGGAGAAUCACGCGGCCCUGGCUCAGAGAGGUGACACCUGGGGAAAUCACCCGCCUCUUUGGACCUCAGCUUUCCCAUCUGUAAACUGGGAUAGCGCAGUGGCGGGAUGACUGGGCGGCAUGUGCAUUGCAGACGUCGCCGGUGGAAAUCCCCAUGGGGGCCACCUGCUUGCCACGCGGGCACUGGCAGGAUGCUGCCAGCAGGGGGAGGCAGAGAGCCGCCUUCCAGUCCUAGGGUUUCCGGGUGCUGGCAUCUGGGACAGGCCGGGCUCCUGUAGCAUCCGGCCUGGGUGCAGCAGGAUGAAAGGUUUGGCUCCACACAUCGCCUCUAGGCUGCGGCCCUCUCCAGGGGCUUCUUCAUCUCUGACUCCCCCUGCCCCACCCACCCCUUCAGGACUGGGGUUGGUCUCCCGAACACAGCAGGUGUUCCGUAAAUCCUCCGCGAGUCGAAUUUAACGGGACAACAGAAAACGUGUAUUUUUCGAGCUCUGCGCUCAGUGAUCUAAUCCGCAGCUACGGGGGCCAGAAGGCGUUGUUUUCCGUCAAGAACGCCCGUAUUCCACACCGUCCUGUCCCCACGAGGGGCGCUGGUACCUGGUGAGGGCCUCGGCCAGGUUUGCACCGCCCGCUUUCCGUUGUCCAGACGAGGAAAUGAGGUAGAGAAUAAGUAACUUAAGGUUACAUGCUUUCCUAGGGCUCAGGUUUUAAAAGGGAGAAACGCAAGACCAGGAGGGUCACGGCCCUCAGUGUCAGAGACCCACGGAGCUUCUGCUGGUGUGUCACGGGCUCUGGUGCAGGAACCAGCCCGAGUCCAGUACCGUGUGGACGUGGCAGAUCCAACCCGAGACGCUUCACGCUCAGCCCCUGUCGCGUUUGCCCUACAGACCAAUGGGCGGGGCUGCUGCCCGGUUUGGGGGAGACCAGCUUCAGAGUUUGUCACCACAGCGGCCAUGCCGUCCCUGCGUCCUGACUACCCGCGGCCUCUGGGGUCGGCUCUGAGCAGCUCCCACUUUUCCCCUGGGGACCCUGAGGCUCAGAGGAGCCAAGUCACCCGCCUCGGGUAAACAGCAGCUGCGAGGAAGGUGAAAACAAGAUGACGCAAACCGGGGCGGGGGGCACAGCCAGGUGUGUGAGGUGCUGGGGGAGCAGCAUUUCCAGCCUGAGCUCGAAGGGCGCUGUGCCCUCGGCCCUCAGGGUGUGUCCGUCCGGGAGCCACCACGCACGCUUGCCCUCAUCGAGGCCCACGGUACACACGAGCAUCCGGAGUCCAAACGAGCCCUGACCCAGGGCUCCCCAAACGCAUCGACCCCCACCGAGUGCUUGGGGACGCAGCGCUUCUGGUCUCCGUUUGCCCGGGCACCCAGCCGGACGGCAUUGCUCAGGCUCCUGCUUGAAGCACUUUGUCAUCGUGCCAGGGCCCCCGGCUGCGGGUCACUCCCCUCCAGGAGCGACCGCAGGAAGCUCUCCAGCGCCUGUCUGGGUCCACGGCGCUGUCCCUUCCCACAGGGCUCCUGGGUGUGGAUUCUGGAUGGGACCGGCCCACGGAAGACUGGGCCGCAGUGAGACCAGGGCGGCACCAGCCAGAAGAUCGGCUCCCCCACCGAGCCCAGUCUCUGGCGGCCGCCGUGCUCCGGAAGCGUGGCUCAGUGGCCCAGCGAGUGGCUGGGUGUCGCCCUACCCUGCCAGUCUCAUCUGUGGGCGCCGCUGCGGUCCUCUCUUUGCUCUGGCCAGAGGGGUGCGGAGCCACAUUUGGGGCUCACCCCAGAACAGUGUGAAGCAAGACCCCACGCCAGUGAUGUGCCUCGGGUUUCCCGGGUGCCCACGGGUGCCCGCAUGGUCUAAAUCUGUGCCUUCCAGUGUGGCAGGGUGCAGCCACGUGCAGCAGCUGAACACGUGGCCGGUCCACACUGAGGAGCACUGAUAGCCCGAAACACGCACUGGAUUUCAAAGACCUAGUUGGAGAGAGGGAGAGAGAGAGAGAGGAAAAUAAUGUAAAAUAUCUCAUUAACUUUGCGUCAAUCACAUGUUGAGAUGACAAUUGGUUGGAUGCAUUGGAUUAUUAUGAUGUGUGAGUAAACUUCAUUUGUUUAUUUUCACUUUAA